CUCUGACCUCAAAUCAGGUAGGAUACCCGCUGAAUUAA
rnacentral:rRNA from 1 species